UACGUAGGGUGCAAGCGUUGUCCGGAAUUAUUGGGCGUAAAGAGCUCGUAGGCGGUCUGUCGCGUCGGCUGUGAAAACUCGGGGCUCAACUCCGAGCCUGCAGUCGAUACGGGCAGACUAGAGUGCUGUAGGGGAGACUGGAAUUCCUGGUGUAGCGGUGAAAUGCGCAGAUAUCAGGAGGAACACCGGUGGCGAAGGCGACCAUCUGGACGGAUACUGACGCUGAGACGCGAAAGCGUGGGUAGCAAACAGG
rnacentral:rRNA from 1 species